UUAUGAAAAUUUUGUGGUAAUCAAAUCUAAUGGCGAAAAUUCAUAGACAGAGUCACUCACAGAGAUAUGCAAUUUAUACAACUUUUACGAUUAUAUAUUUUUUGCGGUUUAAUCUAUCAAAACAUGUAUUAUAACUUAAAUAGAAGAUUAUUAUUAUUUGUUUGUUUCA
rnacentral:sRNA from 1 species